rnacentral:piRNA from 3 species
UGGGCCAUGAACUGGAAGUGUGGAGUGA